rnacentral:lncRNA from 1 species
CGGUGAUAAUCCAGUUUUUCAUUUUUGCUUUGAAGAAUCGGCAGAAUCAAACAAACUGGAGAUAGAGAAGAAUGAAGAAAAAUUAGCAGAGUUAGAAAGUUAAAUUGAGGAGGGCAGAAACAAAGGGAUGCUCUUCAAGAACCUGAGGCUUCACCUUUUGAAAAAGAAAAGGUAAAAGUGGUCCAGUGGAGCUAUAAAAGAUUAGAGAUCUUACAAAGGAAAGCGCCGGAUUAAAAACUAGGAGGAAAUUUACCUUGUACUUGUUGGUCUGCUAGUCAUUGGCAUUGUUGACUCCUUGAUCUCUUCAUCAUCUGAUUGGCACAAAGUUCGAUUUUUGUGGUAAUUUUGGUCGGUGUGCUUUCACAAGUCAUCUACGAGCAGAGCAUGCUGUCAGAAACAGAACAAUCACAUGAAGCAAAAACAGAGGAAGAGGAAGAGAAAGAGUGAUAACUUUUCUUGCCGUUUUAUUCUAUAUUUACUAUAGAGUUUUUUACUUCAUAUUAAUUUUCUUUUCUGUUUUUUCUUUUCUUUUUUUUGUUUAGUCACUUCACUUGAAUAUAGCAUGAUACAUAACCCCAAGAAAGAUUUUUACUACUUGGGACUGAUAAAUCAAGCUACUUUGCUUUUGCAUCAUCAUUCAUACUUGGUGAUAUUUCUGUAAUCACCAAAUCCUUGUUUAAUCAGAUGCCUAUGUGGCUAUGUUACAUUUCCAGUAGUAUACUGGAACAAACAAAGAGUUGAGAUAUUUAUUAAUAUUGUAAGGUUAAAAGACUUAAUGAACUUAUGAACAUAUAUUUAUACAGUAUUUAUCUUUUGUCCUCUGCAAAUGAAUUUUGAUAACCAAAUAUGAAUAUCACGUGAGGCAUAACCCCUAGCAAGAUCUUAUUACUUGGGACUAUAUAAUCAGGCUUCUUUGCUUUUGCAUCAUCAUCCGUUUUAGGUGAUAUAUCUGUAAUCACCAAAAACCAGUUGUAUCUGAUGCUUUACAUGGGUCUUUUCUUCAUCAAUAAUUUUUUUUUUUUAAAAAAAAGAGAAAGAGCCGGGACUUUAGCAUUACCAGUUACCUGAAUCUCAAAAGCACAGAAAGAAACAGAAGAAAUAACUGAAAUACAUAUAUAUUGUGUAGUAUUUACAAUUAACAUAAUUUUGUAGUUUAUUUUUCAGCCAAAAUUAUAGUAAAAUAUUCAAGUCUCAUUGUUACUUCAUCAAACAAGACAUCCAAAAUAUAACAUUUUAAUUAAAAUAAUUUUACAGGGUAGCAGAUCCGUACUUGUCACUUGUCAAUCAUCUAAUCACGCAUAGUGAAAUUGAUUGGAUGAAUUAUUUUACAGGGGAGCAAAUACAUACUAGUAACUCCAAAAUACUAAAAACAAUUCUAGCAAUUUUAAACAUGCAAAGAGCGGAACUGAGUAUAUCAAAUGUAGAACUGAUUUUUGGAGAAUGAAAGUUAAUGACGUCAGUUCUGGGAACUUACCUCUUCGCCAACUAGAUUACUUUGAGAAGUCUCUGUACAACAGGCAGCAUUGGCAAACAUAUCAAAUUAAACCUGCCAAGAUACAGACGAUACCUUAGGAAACAAGUAAACAACUCAAAAAAAGAAUAAAGCAGCAAACAGAAUUCAGAUGAGCAAAGUAGCAGCUCAUACAUUAAUGGAAAAGUUAUCCGUAUGUAUAAUUGAACUGUGGAUAGAAACUUAUGCUCUCCAAACCAAACAUAUAACUAUUUGAAAAAAUCCAACAUUUUUCAUAGAUGCAUGAAAGGUAUCUUACACUCGCUUCUUAGAAUGCAGGACCAUACCACUGAUACAAAUUUGCAGUCAUUAGAUUUGUGAAAAAUGACAAGUCUUGUGGGUUACAAGAGUUGGGGCACAUGUCCACUGAUCAUUGACAAAUAUAGCUGCAACACAUAACACCCCUCUCCACCCCGACAAGCAUAAUCCAUGUAUCUAACUACUAUAUGUAAAUAAAUUCACCCUAUGACUCAGGUUCUAGUGAAAACAAUAAAAGUCUAGUUGUGCUCCAGUUGAACGGGUAAAAGUUCAUGCUCAUUCUGAAUUAUCCUAUCGGACCUAUUCCAUAUCUACAAACUCUCACAUUAAUUUUCUCGCACGAGCACAAACCAGUAAUCAUAACAGUAUAAGUACCAACAUUAGCGUAAAAAGAUGACCUUUAAAAUCAACUUCUUCUACACCUUAUUAGCUGCCACCAAAUCUCCUUACUUGAAACCCCAUUAAUUAGAAUAUUAUAACACAUCACGUACAACCUAACCGCAUCCCAUUACUUAGCACUCUUGGCAAACCCAUUGAUGACAAUUUGAUAACUGGAUACAAUCCAGCGUUAAACCCUGACCCCACAUUCAAUCCAAGAUUUCCUGAGCCUUAUCAAAAUGCUUCUUCUUACAUGAAAUUUUCAACACAAUGUUAAAGGCUCCAAAUUAGACCACAUGCCCAUUGUUUCAAAAUCUAAAAAAAAAGCUAAGCUCGAUUCCAGUGACUUGAUGAAGCAACAAAAGCAUACACCAGAAAGUAUAUGACCUUAUUCCGGGUUAACACCCAAAUUACGUUAAAUCUGUAAGAAAACAUUUAGCUCACAUUCAACCAUAAAGUUCUGAGAACAUACCUUAAUUACCGUCAAAGCAACAUCUUCAUUGCAUUUUCAUUUCUGGGUUUGUAUUAACUCACGAUUUGAGUUGCACGAGAGACGAGUUUUGGGUCGGCGACAAAACGGAAGAUAUGGUGGAAGACAGUGACCGUGCGGGUUUAAC